rnacentral:rRNA from 1 species
CCUACGGGAGGCAGCAGUGGGGAAUCUUGCGCAAUGGGCGAAAGCCUGACGCAGCCAUGCCGCGUGAAUGAUGAAGGUCUUAGGAUUGUAAAAUUCUUUCACCGGGGACGAUAAUGACGGUACCCCGGAGAAGAAGCCCCGGCUAACUUCGUGCCAGCAGCCGCGGUAAUACGAAGGGGGCUAGCGUUGCUCGGAAUUACUGGGCGUAAAGGGAGCGUAGGCGGAUAGUUUAGUCAGAGGUGAAAGCCCAGGGCUCAACCUUGGAAUUGCCUUUGAUACUGGCUAUCUUGAGUAUGGGAGAGGUUAGCGGAACUCCGAGUGUAGAGGUGAAAUUCGUAGAUAUUCGGAAGAACACCAGUGGCGAAGGCGGCUAACUGGCCCAUUACUGACGCUGAGGCUCGAAAGCGUGGGGAGCAAACAGGAUUAGAUACCCUGGUAGUCCACGCCGUAAACGAUGAGUGCUAGUUGUCGGCAUGCAUGCAUGUCGGUGACGCGAGCUACGACAUAAGUACACUCCGCCGUGGGAGGUACGGUCGCGAAGAAUUAAACUACAAGAAGUAGUAGACGNGAGAGACGCGACGACGACGACGACGGAGGAGGAG